rnacentral:rRNA from 1 species
UACGGAGGGUGCAAGCGUUAUCCGGAUUCACUGGGCUUAAAGGGUGCGUAGGUGGGUUGGUAAGUCAGUGGUGAAAUCUCCGAGCUUAACUUGGAAACUGCCAUUGAUACUAUUAGUCUUGAAUAUUGUGGAGGUCAGCGGAAUAUGUCAUGUAGCGGUGAAAUGCUUAGAGAUGACAUAGAACACCAAUUGCGAAGGCAGCUGGCUACACAUAUAUUGACACUGAGGCACGAAAGCGUGGGGAUCAAACAGG